UUACCACUGGUCGCUGAGUCUGAUCUAGGGUCAGUUUGCGAGUUUGCACGCACACUUUAGUGUUAUCUGCAGCGAUUUUAGGUAUCUGAUCCCAGAUAAGAAAGAAAAUUUAAGGACUUCAGAGGAUAGUGUACUUGUACGCAGUAAAGUGACAGUAGUAAAGGAGAAAGAGAAGGUCGUUCUAGGUCGUAGUAUUUUUAUUACUAAUGAGAAAUAUCAUUUUAAAUGGACAAAUUUAACUCACGCAUACAUUUUUUUCUUUGUCGUGUGAUAUAUCUUAUCUGUAAAUAGUUUUCAUUCGUUCUCUGAUAACUUUUUAAAUAACAUAUUUCACCUGCUCAUUUCAGAUGUCUGGAGUGGAAAAAAAACGAGAUGUGUUGUUGUAAAUAUCACUCUCACAAAACCUGUCAAGAACAUGUCUAGGUCAUAUUUCAUCUUAAAGAUUAAAGAUAAAAGAAGCCUAAAAGUGCUCAGCUUAAAAUGAGCAUGAGAUUAAAAUAACAGAGAGAAAGAGAAAAAGGAGAAAAGCACUUCAUCAUCGUUUUAGCCAGGACACCCUCAGGGCAGCUUGUUCAAACGGUGAGUGUGGAAAUGUAGUUUUGCUGCACUGCCAGUUCUCCUCUGCUGGCUCUUUUAAUCAGAUUGCCUUCCUGACAUCCGGCCGUGUUUGUUUCCCUCCAAUUUCAUUUUCUGCUUUGAAUUGCACAUUAACCUUUCCUCAGAGUUCCUGUUAAGCAAACGGUGACUGUUCUCUAUUGCAAUCACGAUUAUGAGAGGUGGAUGACACUCUCGUCAGGUACAUUUCAUCCAGUUUAACUGCAUCUUCAGCUCCAGUCCAUUCAAGUCAAUGUGUUCUCUGCGCCACUGAUGUGUUUUGUACCAACUAUAUCUACUGCAACAAGACGUGCACUUUAAGAGGUGCGAUUGAAAACACAAACCACAAAUCCAUUCAUGUCCAGGGUGUGUGUUUAAUGUCAUUUGGUUGUUUUUGUCUCCCCGAACAGAGCGAGAACAUGAUGCUGGCAGACACGAGCGGCGUUUUUGGCAGACGUUCCCUGAUGACAGCUGGUCAACAGCAUCUUCUUGAAACCUGAUUGAGUUUCCCUUUUAUUUAAACACCCGUUAUGAUUCCAAUCAGAUCCAUUCGUAGAGAUGCAGAGUAGAAUGAAUCUAAAAAAUUACAUUUUUAUUCUAAAAUAUGGACACAGUAUAAUGCAGAUGAUUUUUUUUUUUUUGUAAAAAAAACUUUCUAAACAUUUGCUUUGCUGACUUCAAACAAGACAUGAGACACAUGAAUAAAAAUAUGACAUCUGGUAUGAAAACGCCA